rnacentral:rRNA from 1 species
CAGCAGCCCGAGUGGUGAUCGUUAUUAUUGGGCCUAAAGCGUCCGUAGCCGGGUGGGUAAACCCUUGGGUAAAUCGUACGGCUCAACCGUGCGAAUUCCGAGGAGACUGCCCAUCUUGGGACUGGGAGAGGCCGGAGGUACUCCCGGGGUAGGGGUGAAAUCCUGUAAUCCUGGGGGGACCACCAGUGGCGAAAGCGUCCGGUCAGAACGGGUCCGACGGUAAGGGACGAAGCCUUGGGGCACAAACCGGAUUAGAUACCCGCGUAGUCC